UCCAGUCAUUGCUUCUGCUAUUAAUACCCAACACAUAACACCUACUACUACGCGGUUUCUGCUGUAAUGACAAAACUAUUCUUGGGGCUCGUGCGGGGCGGCGGGUUAAGGUGACACGAGCGAGGGGAGGAGGCGGCGGCGGAGGAUGAGGAGGAGGACAGAUACCUUCCUAAUAGCCCUCCAUUGUGCAAUAAAAGAUCCCCAAUGGCGCUGAUACAGGUCCUUCAGUGUGCCUGGGAGGGAGUGCAACGCAGUCAAGUGAAGGUCUGCCCUCAGCCCUGUUACUACCAAGCUUGCAAUAUAUGUUAAGCUUGUUCUGUCUAUGCCUAUGUCUAAGCUUGCCCUCAGCCCUGUUACUACCAAGCUUGCAAUAUAUGUUAAGCUUGUUCUAUCUAUGCCUAUUUCUAAGCUUGCUCUCAGCCCUGUUACUACCAAGCUUGCAAUAUAUGUUUUCCUUAAGCUUGUUCUGUCUAUGCCUAUUUCUAAGCUUGACCUGUCUAUGUCUUACUACCAAGCUUGCCAUACAUAUUUCCGUUAAGCUUGUUCUAUCUAUGCCUAUUUCUAAGCUUGACCUGCCUAUGUCUUACUACCAAGCUUGCCAUACAUAUUUCCAUUAAGCUUGUUCUAUCUAUGCCUAUUUCUAAGCUUGACCUGCCUAUGUCUAUUUCUACUAAGCUUGUCCUACCUAUGUCUACUACUAACCUUGCCUUGCCUGUUAUUCUGUUUAGCUUGCCCUGCCUAUGUCAAGUUCUAUUAAGCUUGCCCUACAUAUGUAAAGUUCUGUUAAGCUUGCCCUACUUAUGUGUUUCUAUCAAGCUUGCCCUUUCUGUUAUUCCAUUAAGCUUACUACUCUGCCUACGUCUUUCUAUUAAGCUUAUCCUGCCUCUGUCUAUUUAUAUUAAGCUUGCCCUGUCCUAAGCCCUAUUUCUGUUGAGUUUGUCCUGUUUGUGAAUAUCUAUUAAGCUUGUACUGUCCUAAGCCCUAUUUCUUCGAGCUUGUCCUGUUUGUGUAUAUCGAUUAAGCUUGCCCUGCCUAUGUGUACUUCUACUAAGCUUGCCCUCUGUGUAUUUCUAUUAAGCUUGCCCUGCCUAUGUGUACUUUUACUAAGGUUGCCCUCUGUGUAUUUCUAUUAAGCUUGCCCUGCCUAUGUCUUUCAAUUAAGCUUGUCCUACCUGUCUGUUUCCACAAAGCUUGUCUAUUUCUGUUAAGCUUGUCCUGAGGUGCCGUGGCGAAGGAAAGGCGCUAAGGAGAAAGGAGGGAGAGAAGGAUGAUGAUAAGGAGGAGGAGGAGGAGGAGGAGGAGGAGGAGGAGGUUGUUUUCGUGGUGAUGUAGCGACGACGAAGAAGGAAAAAAAAAAUGGAUGGACUGAAUGGGCAAUGGAAGGAAGGAGAAAACAAUAAAAUGCAAAGGAUAUUCUCUCUCUCUCUCUCUCUCUCUCUCUCUCUCUCUCUCUCUCUCUCUCUCUCUCUCUCUCUCUCUCUCUCUCUCUCUCUCUCACUCUCUCACACACACACACGCACUAUCUAUAAUUAUACCACGUGCCCUGCGUCAAAAUGCGGCGAAAUAACUAACUAAACAGAGUAAAAAUAAAUAAGAGAAACAAAACCAAACUAAACUGAUGGGACGAUGGAGUUACGAGGCAAGGAAGACGCUGCAGAAAUAGGUGACGGACGUGACGGAGAUAGCGGAGGAGACGAAAGCCGAAGAACGUUAGAGCGAAGAUAACAGGGAAGGAAAAGGAGAAGAAAAAAAAAGGAAGGUAAGGAAACAUGCAAAGGGUAUGGUUAAAGGUGUGACACGUAGACAUAGUGAACGUGUCCUAUACUUGUUGUUGUUGUUAAAAAUAUAGAUAGGUAGAUAGAUAGAUAGUGACGGAGACAAACGGCGAAGAUAAUAGGGAAGAAAAAGGAGAAAAAGGGAAGGUAAGGAAACAUAUGCAAAGGGUAUGGUUAGAGGUGUGACGCGUAGACAUAGUGAACGUGUCCUAUGCUUGUUGUAGAUGUUUUUGAUAGAUAAAUACAUAGAUAUAGAUAGAUAGUGUUUAAUUCGGGUUCAGAGAUGACCCGAUUGUGUUAGGUUCGUGGAAGGAAGGAAGGAAGGAAGUCUAAGUUUGCGGUGUCCAUGUAAGGUGUGUGUGCGUGUGUGUGUGUGUGUGUGUGUGUGUGUGUGUGUGUGGAGGGGGGCAGGGAGGCGGAUGGAACACACUGACGCGGAAUGGCAGGGCAAGAAACGCCAUUCCUAUAAAGGGAUUUGUGAUUCAUAAGUGGAGCUCGACGGGACAUGAAAAAAUGACAGGCUUUACACCUCUCUCUCUCUCUCUCUCUCUCUCUCUCUCUCAGCACACCAUUCACCUGAUCAUUUUCUCUCCUUCACCUCACAGUCAUCAGCCGCUCACCGUCCGCCGCCUCGUUACUCUCCCAAGUACCUGUUAUCUCUCUUGUCAAGUUUUCUGCUCUCCUGUACAGCACGCCUCCUCUCGUGCGACCUUCGGCGCGUACUCUGAGACGCUUUCGGCUCUCAACAACUACUUCCAAAGGCCACAAAGGAGAUAAGUCGGGUUAUCAUGAGUGUUUUUCACGUUCAUGGUGCAGAAGCCUUGUCAAGCGAUCACUAGGCUCAUGAAACAAUCCCUGGAAAUACUAACACUACCUCAACGAAAGCCGUAUCAAAUGUGGAUGUGUACGAUCCGAAAUGUUUGAGAUGUGCCCUGCUGUAUGAGGCUCAACGUUGCCAGAUUGUCGUACUAUGCCUCUUAUGUUUGCCGAUUUCCGAUCCAAAAACUGUUCAUUUAUAUUUAUCGUUAAAAUAGUUAAUUCUUGAUGUUUCUUGGCAAUAGUUAGGCGUCAGAAACCAGUAAAUACUAUGCUUCGAGUACGAUAAUCUGGCAAUGUUGAUAAGGCUUACUCACUCUCGAGCUAUCUUCAUUCCUUUAUACCUUUCACUGGCAAGCUCGCGGGGACAGCCUUUUUAUUCUGUCCUUACAACAUUCCCACGCCUAGAGCCCGCGCCGAGGAAGCACCACGACGCCCAAGGAACUGAAAUAGCUUGGGAUGUAUUUCGGGACUUCCUCGUCACUGUCUUCUUUGCAGGAACACGUGUGAGGUGUUGCUUUAUGGCCUGCUCUAUCCCUCGGUCGGGCUUCUUUCACACACACACACACACACCGCGCUCCACCAGCAAACGUUACUCUGGCCAGUCACCUCAAUCGGGUGAAUAACCAUAAACAUGUAACGGGCACAGUUAUUUCCCAGCCACGUGAAUCAGGUGGUGGUGGUGGUGGUGGUGGUGACGGCCGCACUCCUCGACUUUUUUUACCUCCUCGCCUCCAGCCUCGGCGCCGGCCUCUCCUUGACCAAGUUUGCAUGACAUCGCGCUGCAGGGGACCCUUCAACGCCGCCCCCUCCUUCGCCCAAACAAGACAGCUGGAGCCAUUACUGCCGGCCCGUGCUAUCGGCAGGCUGUCGCGGCGCGUCACGUGGCAGCAGACACCUGGCCGCCCCCGCCCCGGCCUGUCGCCACCUGCCGCCCUCCGUCAGGUGCGGCGCAGGUAUCCUGGGGCCGUGGAGGCACGUCCCACGCCCGAUCAAUACUGUCCUCUGUCACGCACUCAAGACAGCUUUCCUCCUUGCCUGGAAAGUGUGACACGAGGUGCGUCACAACACUUUUACCUCGAGACUAAAACUCCAUUUUUCUUCUUUAUAUUUAUCACACACGCAGAAUCAUAUAUGCACACAUACACACACACAAAAUAGUGAUUAGGUUGGCGAGCUCUGCUCGCAACCUGGAAGACCCGGGUUCGAUUCCCGGUCGGAGUAGAGACGGGUGGGCAGUCGCCUUUAAUCUGUGGGUCCUGUCCAUCCAGCAGUGACUGGGUGCCGGGUGUCAGUCGGGGUUCGAGCCCCGCCUCCCGGGUGUGUGGGCGUGACGGGAGGCUCCCUCCGUGUUCCAUCUGAGUGACACUUCUCGCCACAUCGUCAAGGAGCCCGUCAGGAAGCUCGGGUCCUCAGGGUCGGCCAUUACGGCGGUGUGCCUCGCAUAACGCACGGGACGUUCCCGGGAGCCAAGCCCUGAGGCGCGGCGAGGGCCGCGGUGGAGCACACGGCCGAGCACGGCCUGGCGUGGCUCUCCUGGCUGGCCGUCGCCCGCUACUCAUCCUCUGCAGCUCGGCUACUCCUGAGGGCUAGGCGGACACGCUAGAGGGGGCAGAGUAGCCGCCUGUCCCAAGGUCGCGUCAAUAUUUCAUCUGGUGGGGCGCGGCGGCUUCCUCCCCUCCGUGCCUGGUCACAGGAGCCACGCCCCCAACGUCCCCACACACGAUGAAGUCACUCUCUUCCCCCCACCCCCCCUGUUCAGGCAUUUUGUCACUCACUUUUUCUCCAUUUCUCUUUCUCUUACUUCCAACUAACUAUCUUCGCUUUCCUUUCGCCCCUCAAUUCCUUUCACUUUCCUUCCUUCCCUUUCAGUCAUUUUGCCACUUCUUUUUUCUUCCUCCAUUUCUCUUUCUCUCAUUUCCCACUGUCUAACUAUCUUCUCGUUCUGUCCAUCCCUCUCUUCUGUUCCCUCUUCUUGUCACUCUUUAGUUCAGUCAUUUUAUCCUUCUAUUUUUUGUUUCCCUUCUCCAUUCUUCUGUCCCUCUCUUCUUUUCUUUCCCUGUCCCUCCUGCUCCAUCUUUCUUUCCCUUCCUUUGUCUUUUUCACUCCCCAAUCUCUCACUCCCCACUAUUCCGACAACCCGUUCCCUUCGCCCCUCUGCUCUCUCCUCCCGCCCCGACUCCAGCACCGGCCCGCCAAGGACCUUCUUCAGCCACACA